UGUAGAAAUGGAGGCAGGAAAAUUGCAAAAGCCAGAUGGGAUGGAGGACAUAAAACAAGGACCUCUAAACAUAGCAGGACUAAUGUAUACCUGAACUUACAGGGACUAUGGCAUGAUGUACAAAGACAGCACAGCUUUUGAGAGAGAAUUCUGAUGUUUCAUCUGGUCUGCAUGUUACAAUGACAAGAAAAUCAAAGAAAAGAAAGAACAUUGGAAGACAUUGGGAAAACAAAUGGACACCAUAUCUACAGAAGAAAAGGGACAAGAAUUACCUUGAACUUUUAUUGAAUACUCACAAAGUCCAGAAGAGAAAGAAGUGGGAUAU